GUCAGGGCGGCGUAGGGGCGGGUAGACUGGUGGUUGAGAUUUGGCGGAGAGCGGGCGUCGUCGUGCGGAAGAGGUGAUGGAAGCGACCGGUUAAACGGCGCUAGAAUCGAGGGCGCACAGGAGAGAAGACAGGCGGGCGCGGGCGCGGGGGAGAGCGCGGAACAACAGAUUGUCGGGCGGCGUCUGACAGAGCGGGGAAAGGAACUGUCGCGGCCGCGGUCGGGGUUGGCGGUGGAGGAAUCGUCGUGUAGCGACGACCGGGCGGCGCAACUGUGGCUGAAAGGGAUGGAAAAGACGGGCGACAUCGGGCUCUGGGGCCGGGAUCUGGUGGCGUGAUGAUGGGCGCGGGAGACGAGGUUCUGCAGAAAGGGUGCAGAGGGUUUCCGCUGCUAUUGGGGAAAAGGGGCGCGGGAACCCACUCUGUUGCUUGCCAGAGACAAAACUGGGCGAUGGCGUCGGAGAAGACGAGCCACGCGGCAGGAAAACUCUGAGGCGGCCAUGCAACUCGAGUGCGGCUGGCGCGGGGGAUCUGGAGAAAGAUCUCGCGGGUCCACCGGUGGAUAAAUCGGACGGGUGAGGAAGAUCAGCAGGAUCCGACGGUGGACGGAGCUCGCCGGGGUUGGGAGAGGAGCGAAGCAGGUAGGGGUUGGAUCUCAGGGGUCGGGAUCGGCGGAAAACUGGGCACUUAGGUGCGGUCAAACAAAACAGCUGACUAAGGUUAAGGGCUGAGAUCAAGCCUAACUGGGAAGGAUUAGGGGUCAGUCGUUACAGCCUACCCCUCUUAAAAGAAUCUCGUCCCGAGAUUCAAGGAUCAAAGGGUGUGCUAUUCUUACCUCCUUGAUGGGACAGAAAACCUGGGAAACGCUUGUUCAGAUACUUGUCCGUUUCCCAUAUUGCUUCAUCUUCGGUGUGGUUUCUCCAGAGGAUCUUGUACAUCUUUACCACUUGGCGUCGGGUGUGCCUUUCCUUUUGGUCAAGAACUCGAUCUGGGUACUCGGCGUAGGUCAGGUCGGGCUCUACCUAAAGCUGUUCUUGUUCUACGAUCUCUGCUGGAACUCGGACACACUUCUUCAGUUGAGACACAUGAAAAACAUCAUGUAUGGCUGAUAGCUGCUCUGGAAGUCGGAUCCGGUAAGCAACGGGUCCACAUCUCUCCACAAUCUCAUAAGGGCCAACAUAGCGGGGGGGCUAACUUGCCCUUUAUUCCAAACCGCUGCACUCCUUUGGUCGGGGAUACUCUAAGGUACACAUGAUCACCAAGGUCGAACUGCAGGGGUCUCCUCCGCUGGUCGGAGUAACUCUUCUGUCGAGAUUGGGCAGCCUUGAGAUUUGCUUGAAUUACCUUCACUUGCUCUUCGGCUUCUGCCACUAAGUCGGGGCCAUAAACCUGUCUCUCUCCUGGUUGGGACCAGUUCAAGGGUGUCCUGCAUCUCCGGCCAUACAGGGCCUCGAACGGUGCCAUCUUUAAACUGGCCUGGUAGCUGUUAUUGUAGGAGAAUUCUGCUAAGGGCAGACACUUGUCCCAGCUUUUAUCGUAGUGGAUAACACAGGCUCUUAGCAUAUCUUCAAGAAUCUGGUUAACUCUCUCGGUUUGGCCAUCGGUUUGAGGAUGUUACGUUGAGCUUCGGAUGAGCUUGGUGCCCAUAGAUGCUUGUAGUUGCUCCCAAAAACGGGCCACAAACUGAACUCCUCGAUCAGAGAUGAUGGUCUUGGGUACACCAUGUAGGGAAACAAUACGGUCGAGGUACAGCUCUGCAUAUUGCUUGACUGUAUAGGUGGUACGAACAGGAAAGAAAUGUGCCGUCUUGGUCAGUUGGUCCACUAUAACCUAGAUGGAAUCAUACCGUUGAGUUGUAAGGGGUAAACCAACUAUGAAGUCCAUGCUGAUGUCUUCCCAUUUCCAAGAGGGGAUAGGUAGCGGCUGCAAGGUUCCUGCCACCUUCAAAUGACUGGCCUUGACACGUUGACAGGUGUCACAUUCUGAAACAUAACGAGCUAUCUCUGGUUUCAUUCCACUCCACCAAAAGGUUUGACGAAGAUCAUGGUACAUCUUAUUGCUGCCAGGAUGGAUCGAGAACUUGGAGAGAUGAGCUUCGUCUAGGAUUUGCUUCCUCAACUCGGGGUCGGCGGGCACUACUAGUCGGUUUCCAUAAUACACACCUCCUGUUUUGUCCUGACGGAAUUGCUUAUAUCCUUCCUCCUUUACUGAGAUCUUACUGAUGAUCCGUUUUAUUUCUUCAUCCUUAACUUGUGCUAACCGAAUUCGGUCCUCCAAAACUGAGUCAAGGAUGAUGUGAUCAAGGGUUCCAUGAGGAACAAUUUCCAAACUUAGUUUUCCCAUCUCGUGACACAUAGUGUUGGUGAAGGCUGUUGACAACAGGCAGUUGCAAUGGGGUUUGCGACCGAGGGCAUCGGCUACCACAUUGGCCUUGCCAGGAUGAUAGUGCACUUCCAACUCAUAAUCCUUUAUCAACUCCAGCCAUCUUCUCUGACGCAUGUUGAGGUUGGCUUGAGUGAAGAUAUACUUGAGGCCCUUGUGGUCGGUGUAGAUGUUGCAGUGAGCUCCCAUUAGGUAGUGCCUCCAUAUCUUUAAGGCAUGUAUCACUGCUGCCAACUCAAGGUCAUGUGUCGGGUAGCUUAGCUCAUGAGGUCGUAACGCACGUGAGGCAUAGGCAAUGACUCGGCCGUCUUGCAUAAGAACACAUCCGAGUCCAGUGCCAGAGGCGUCACAGUAUACGUCAUACGGCCUAGAGGGGUCGGGUUGUGCCAAAACUGGGGCGGUGGUCAGCAAGUGCUUCAGGGUCUUGAAGGCCUCUUCACACUUGGUGUCCCACACAAACUUGACCUCCUUCUUCAGCAACUCGGUCAUCGGCUUAGCUAUCUUGGAGAAAUCCGGUAUGAAACGCCGAUAGUAACCUGCAAGUCCAAGGAAACUCCUGAUCUGGUGUACUGAAGUAGGAGACUUCCAUUCCAUGACUUCUUGUACCUUGCUGGGAUCCACGGCGAUACCAUCCUUAGAGAUAGUGUGUCCCAGAAACUUGACACUAUCUAACCAAAACUCACACUUGGAGAACUUGGCAUAGAGCUGGUGAUCUCUCAGCCGUUGGAGAACUAUAUGAAGAUGGUCGGCAUGCUCUUCCUCAUCUUUCAAGUACACUAGGAUAUCAUCAAUGAACACCACGACAAACUUGUCCAGCUCGGGCAUAAACACCGAGUUCAUAAGGUACAUGAAAUAAGCGGGUGCAUUGGUGAGUCCAAAGGACAUGACUAGGUACUCGUACAGUCCAUAUCUGGUAGAGAAGGCUGUCUUGGGUAUGUCGCAAGGUCGAAUCUUGAUUUGGUGAUAACCAGAACGAAGAUCGAUCUUGGAGAACACUUUUGCUCCGGCUAACUGAUCGAACAAGACAUCAAUACGUGGCAGUGGGUACUUGUUCUUGACUGUUACCGCAUUGAGGGGUCGGUAAUCCACACACAUCCGUAAACUGUCGUCUUUCUUCUUCACAAACAGGGCGGGGCAACCCCAAGAUGAGGUACUGGGUCGAAUGAAACCUUUUUCCAACAGAUCAUGCAACUGGGCCUUCAACACGGCUAACUCAGCGGGUGGCAUUCGAUAGGGUCUCUUAGAUAUCGGGGCUGUGCCAGGAAUCAACUCUAUGGAAAACUCCACUUCUCUGUCAGGGGGCAUACCCGGUAAAUCUUCUGGAAACACAUCAGGGUACUCACAGAUAACAGGGAGGUCUUUUAGACGGGCUCCCAAGAGAGGGUAAGCACAAGGAGUCGGAGACUCAAGAUGGGUCAAGGAUAGGGUAGAACUGCCAUGGAAGGGUGAGCUGAUGUACAGAGAUCGGGCGGAUGUAUCUAGAACAACAUGAUGUCGGGCCAUCCAGUCCAUACCAAGGAUGACAUGUAUGCCCUUUUAGGUCAAGGAUGAUAAGGUUUUCCUUGAAGAGGGUGGGGCCUAGCUGGAGAGGUACAAGAAUAACGACCUGAUCCGACGUUAUCCUUCCUCCAGGAGUGACGAUCACAUAGGGUUCCUUAGUGUGACCGACACUUAGCCCACAUCUUUCCCUUGCCUUAUUCCCGAUAAAGCUAUGAGAGGCUCCCGAAUCAAACAACACAACAACAGCUUGAUUUAAAACAAGGAAAGUACCCGUCAUUACUGACGCACCUUCGGGAAGUUCGGUCAAGCUGGUGUAGUUGAGUCGGCCUUGUUGGACCUGCACCUUGGGCCUUCUUCCUCUGGCUGCCAUGGGGUUCUGGCCUUGCUGCUGAUUCUUGUUCCUGGGGCAGUCCUUUGCAAAAUGUCCUUCAUUGCCGCAGGUAAAACACCGAUUACUGGCUGCCGGGCGAGGUGGCGUCGGCCGGGUCGGCCGGGGCACUUGCGGCUGGAAGCCUGGAAAACGAGGCGUUGUUGCUGGCGGGGGUCGGGCGAUCCAUUUCCCUGACUGCUGGGGUCGGCCAGGGGUCUGUGGAGGAAUCAUCCGGAACCUUCGAGUCGGUGGACUCGGAAAUGCCACAGAGGCCUUUCUCUUCUGGUCGGCCUUGAGAGCUUGCAUGCAGUCCUCCUGAGAGAUGGCCAGGUUGACCAACUCGUUGUAGGUGUCCACCCUGAUGGGGUUCAGCCUUUCCCUGAGCUCCAAGCUCAGUCCUCGGCGGAAUCUGUCCCGCUUCUUCUCAUCGGUGUCCGCAUGAUAGCCAGCAUAAGGGCAUAGGUCAUUGAAAGCUUGGGCGUAAUGUAGCACAUCCCGAGUUCCUUGGGUGAGGGCAAGAAACUCGUUGAGCUUGCGCUCCAGGAGACCUUCAGGGAUGUGAUGCGCCUUGAACGCCGUCUUGAACUCGUUCCAGCUGACCACAUGGCCAGCCGGCAGCAUGGCAUGGUAGUGGUCCCACCAAAGCCGAGCGGAGCCACGCAGCUGCUAAGCUGCGAACCACGCCUUGUUGUUGUCGGGGCAUGGAGCGGUGAGGAGCUCGAACUUGGAUUCGAUCGUACGAACCCAUGCAUCAGCGUCGAGCGGUUCUUGUGUCUUUUGGAACAGCGGGGGUUGUGUCCCCAGAAAGUCCUCGUACCGCGCGAUAUGCGGCUGCUGCUGUGCUCUUCCACCCUGUGGCUGUUGCUGUUGUCCCUGCACCAGAUGCCUUAGCAGCUCGGUUUGAGUUGCUAGGAUUGCCUCCAACGGCGAUGGGGGCGGGGGCGGGGGAAGAUCCUGUCGCUGAUCACUACCACUGGGCAUAGAUCCAGACCUAGUGCGGUGCGCCAUCUGCAAGAGUUAACGCCCCAUUAAUUUCAUAACCUCAGGUGUACUCCAACAAAUGGAACGUAUGAAUUUAAUCCCUUAAUGCGACUCUUGCCAACGGUGCAUCACACGUCCUCAUAGGGGAAGCACAUUCCUCCCAUUCCCGGCAUAGGUAACUUCUACUUGUCCUGGUACUCCACUUCAGGCACACAUGCCACAUACAGACUCCUAGAAUCUGAUCCACUCAAACCAAGGGGUCGGACACGGUCCGUACUCGGAAAGGGUCGGACGAGGCGGUAACUGCCUCAAGGGUCGGCGCACUCUGGCUCGCAAACUAGGGUCGGCCAACUGAACAGGCUCCCCAAAAACAGCAUAGGGUUACGGCGCAACUUACUCCACCUUAGCAUCCACACCAUACGAAAAGGAUAAAACUAUGCACCGGUUGACUUUAUACACAACGAUGUUUCAACACAGGGAGUACUCACUCAAGGCUAACCUAUUACAGCUUUCCAAAAUCUAGGCUGCCGAGGAGUACAACAAAAGAAAGAAGGUUCCCUGAGAACCCUUAAGCUACCACUGGACACUAUGAGUCGGAGAAGGGGCGCCAUCUUCUUCUAUGUCCAUGCUGGUGUAACGACCGACCCCUAAUCUUUCCCAGUUAGGCUUGAUCUCAGCCCUUAACCUCAGUCAGUUGCUCUGUUGACCGCACUUGAGUGCUCAGUUUUCCGCCAGUUCCGACCCCUGAGAUCCGACCCCUACCGUUCGUUCCUUUUUCCCGACCCUGGCGAGUUCAGCCCUCCGUCGGAUCCUGCUAAUCUUCCUCAACCGUCAGAUCUUUUCCCCGGUGGACCCGUGAGAUCUUUUCCAGAUCCCCCGCACCAGCCGCACUCGAGUUGCAUGGCCGCCUCAGAGCUUUCCUGCCACGUGGCUCGUCUUCUCCGACGCCACCGCUCAGUUUUGUCUCUGGCAAGCGACCAAGUGGGUUCCCGCGCCCUUUUCCCCUAUAGCAGCGGAAGCCCUCUGCACCCCUUUCUGCAGAUCCUCGCUCCCCGCGCCCAUCAUCACGAUACCAGAUCUCGGCCCCGGAGACCGAUGUCGCCCGUCUUUUCCGUCCUUUCCAGCAACAGUUGCGCCGCCCGGUCGUCGCUACACGACGAUUCCCCAACCGCCAACCCCGACCGCGGCAGCGACAAUCCCUUUCCCCGCUCUGUCAGACGCCGCCCGACAAUCUGUUGUUCCGCGCUCUCCCCCGCGCCGCAUCCGCUUGUUCUCCCACCUGUGCGCCUUGAUCCUAGCGCCGUUUAACCGGUCGCUUCUAUCACUUCUUCCGCACGACGACGCCCGCUCUCCGCCAAAUCCCAACCACCGGUCUACCCGCGCCUACGCCGCCCUGACGGAGUAGCGCAAUGAUCGCUGGCGUCACCCCCGGAGUUCUGCAGCACCGCCAGGUUUGCUCAAUCGCCGCCACGGCAGAGCACUCCAUUGCUUCUCCCCGGCCUCCGCGCCGCUCCCCUUCUCUCUCUCCGCGACGUUUCCGUUCCUCUGCUCCAGCAGCUAUAAAAGGAAGGCCCCUGUCGCCGGAGUUCCCUCCGCCUUUGUUGCCCUUAGUUUCCUCUAGCUCCCUGCUCAAGCUCCUAGCGCGACCCACCCAGUUCUUGAAAGGUUCAUCUCCCAGUUCCUUCUCAGUUCAUCCAAGUCACCAGCAGCGUGCUCCUUGUGCUGCGUAGAGCUCUCUUGUGAUCCGCAAGAAGCAGCACCGCCGCCGGAGUAUCGCCAACCUUAGUCCCUGCUCAAAGCUUUAGUUCCGCGCCCAAGUCUGCCUCUUCCCGACCCCAAGCUUUCCUUUCAGGAAGAAGGUGAGUGCCGACCCUAAGUCCGCCUCGACCGACCCCUCCUAUCCGCCCGACCCUAGUUCCGUCUCGUCCGACCCUGUUUGUUCGCCGACCCUUGUCCGCCUCGCCUGAGGGCUUGGCUGUGAUCUUUUUCUUCAACUUGAGGGUGUAAAUGUAAAACGUGGGAACCCUUCAGCGCUUCCGUCUGAGGAUCCCAGUUAUCACAUCCUCUAGUUCAAGGAUCAGACCACUAGUCUCCUUCCUAUCCUCACCUGUUGAUCAUCAUCAGCUCUCUCAAACAGCCUCCACCUCCUGCUCUUUGUCGCAAGUUUCUGGGCUCAGGAGAGCCAGUGUUGCUAUCAAAUCAAAACGUUUAAGCUAACUCUUGCAUUGCAUUCGUGUAGAGCUGCAUCUCGCUGACGGCUUCUACGAGCUGCACCCGACGCCCGAAGAAGAAGCUGUAGCCGAGAUCCUGCCCGCGGAAGUCGAAGCCACCCCCGAAGUCGAGCAGUUCCAGCCUUCUUUGUUUGCAGGCAAGCCCCGGUUGCAUGAAAAUCCUACGUGUCUUUGCCAACUUGCACAUGCCUUCCGAAUAGCAUGUUGUGCAUUUACGUUUAGGAGUUGUGUGAAACCCUAGAUGCAUGACUUAGUAACCCUUGAUAUGAGCACUAGCUGUUGGACCGAGUAGCUGCACUGCUUAAAUAGGAGACGGUAAAAGCCGAGUGAUCUCCUGUCACUCGCGAGUUGUAGGAGUUGCAUGUUUACUCUCCUGUUACAACUAUAAGGACGAUGGACGGGGCAGGGUUUGGUAACACUUUGGUGGUCGGAUGGUCGCCCCGUCUGUCUAUGAAAACUUGCUAAGGCCCGACAGUGGUGGUGUUUGUGAUCAAGUGUUUGAAAGUACUAGCCUCAUACUUAGUAUGGGAUGAGGAAGCCUAGUACCUGAUUGAACCUAGACGUGAGCGGUCGCCCCAUUAUUCUUGGAACGGAGUUUCCCCUGCUGGUUGUCGCACGUGGUGGCAAAGCGUGGUCACAGAACGGCAGAGACCGGGUCUGUGGAACCUUGCACCAAAGGAAAUGGGCCCGACACGGGUUAGGGGAUCGAUGGGGAGGGCCGACACAGGAAGCGACCUCCGGGUGCGCGGAUGCCGUGGGGCUAGGUUCACCAUGCAUGGUUAAAGAACUCGAAUCGAUUCGUCUGCCUCUCACAGUUUGAGAUUACUUGAUCGCCAUGUCACCCUGAGUAAAUGAGGAAUCUGAUGAUGGCAAUGUUGUUUGUUUUUAUCUAUACACUUGUUUGGCUCAAUGUUUGCUGAGAAUAGGUUGCACAACCUAGACUGGUAAAGUAAAUCUAGAACCGGAGCUAAAACUUGAAAAAUAGGUUACUUAGUGCUUUUGGCAAAACAAACCCCUCAGCCAAGAAGCCUUGCAUGUCUAGUUGGAAGAGUAGAUGGCUCCUCCCCGGUUAAGUCUUGUUGAGCUUAGUAGCUCAGCCUUGUUGUGGCUCCUGUUUUUCAGGUGAAGUUGCAGUUCCCGACCCCUCCCUUGUUGGUGCUUGGCCGCCCCAGCUCCCGCCAGGCUGGACGGUCGAGUGGGACCCCUCCUCGGACGGCGAGGAGAGGACUCAGUGAUGUUCUGGCUGGCCUCGCCCGGACGUCCGACCCCGACGAAGUCUUCCGCUAGUGUUUUCUCUGUUGUCUUUUGUUAUAAAACUCUGAUGUUAAAAUUUUAUGAUCGAACUAUUGAGUAAGACGGUUUAACUCAGUGGACUUGUUGUAUUCUCUGUAACCGCUCACCUUCGUGUGGGUUUGCUGAACUCGAUCCUGUUUAAGUGGUUAAAUCGGAUGAAGUCCGACGGCGCUUCGUGUUAGCUCGAGUUAAUCAGGAGUGUCGCAUGUUAGGCGGCUAAACUCUGAUUAAUCAAGCUAAUCCGAGGUGGUUCCGCCACAGCUGGACGCUCCCUCGUCUUCCUCAGGGUCCUCCUGAGCUUCGAGCUGCAUGUUAAGGGCAUGCAUAUCCUCGAGCUCGGCUUGGUGCUCCUCCAGGUGGGCAUUGGCGACUGCUAGCUCCAUUUCCACCUCCAUCUUUUCCUCCGAGAGCUCUAUCAUGCCGUCCAUGAGGUCGGCGACUUCUCCUUCUAGCUCGGAGAUCCAAUCUUGCAUAUCGUGGAUCUGGAUACCACGCUGGAUCAGCUGGUAGGUUUGGCCUACCAUGUCCCUUCUUGCUGCCUGGAGAUAACCAUGGGUAUCUGCAGCCGUCCGGGCGAAGAGAGUCAUGGCUCUUCCCUGAAGCUCUAUCAACCUGUAGAGGGCGGCCAUGCACCGGACGUUGGUGGAGAUGGUGACCAUAGCACAGGUGGUGGCCAACACCUCGAUGUUCCCGACGCGGUCAAGCCAGGCCGGGUCCAGCCGACUUCUGACGGGGAAGAGACCGAUCGGGUCCAGCGUGAUCUCCACGGGGUGCAACUGACAGAACUGGGUAAGCAACUGAAGGGCGGGAGAUUCCCAUGUGUCUUCCGGAGCAAGACCAUAGGCUAUUAUGCCCAGAGAGGGCCAGUCGGGCCGCGCAAGGGGAGGUGGUACCAAUGCUUGCACCUGGCACGUCUGAAUGCCCUGUUCCAUAUAUAACCGCCCGGCAUACAAGGGCGGGGACUGAUACCCGAACCACUUCAGCGUAUCCCACAAAAUCGCGGGAAACCCCUCGAAAUGUAGGCACGUUGACUGGAAGGUACCGUCCGCUCCAAAAACCACAUGUCCGGGAACAGCCAUCUGGAACCAAGAAAACCGAAACCACGUGAGAUAGGUCCAAGGAUCAGGGGUCGGAUAGAAAAGCAGACGGGUUUCACCGAGAGCAACUAAGAGAAACUAGAAAUCCUUAGAUCAAAAGAACUCUUUCGGACAGGGUUGCUGCUGAGAAAAGGGACCGUAUGAUGCAUGCACGGCCUACUGUACUCUUAACCAAAACAACUGCCCAAACCUUGGGUCUUACGCGGUCAACGCCGGUGACAAGGCAACCAUACGUCUCUCCCUAUAAUAACUAGCCGGUUCUAGUAACGUCUUAACGAGCGCGGUUAGCAACCUGCAGAAAAGCACCACACCUGAACCUUCCGUGCCAGCACCCACGAAAGCGUUCCCAAGCAUUACCGCUCACUAUAGAAACGGCACCCAUGCGUUUAAGGCUGCAUGGACAGCACUCAACCGUGGAAAUAGGCUCCCUUUGAAUGGAUCAGUAUAACCCUUCGCAUACUCGUGAUGCGGAAUCGGCACACGUAUGACAAACGUGGCGAAACAACCGUGCCGAUAGGUUCGUUGAAAUCGAACCGUACCAACCUUCGUAUGGAACGCAUACGGAACCUGCGCACGUAUAAUAGACGUGGGCGAAAACAACCGCGAAGAUAGGGUCCUUUGAAUGGAGCUCCCUAUCAACCCUCGCAUACUCGUGAUGCGGAAUCCGGCACACGUAUGAUAGACGUGGCGAAGUGCUGGAAGAGUUAGCAACAUAACCAGGUACUUAUUAGUCACCUAAAACAACCCCCAAAAACCCCUAGGGCCUCUCGCACUAAGUCAUCCUUAACGAUCGUACGAGGUUUUCAAAAAUUUCUUACAACUUUUAUCCUUUUUCAAAGAAGUGUUUAGGGCUCAUCGGGUUCUCUGAAUGCUAAACACGGCUCUGAUACCAGCUGUGGCGGAACCACCUCGGAUUAGCUUGAUUAAGCAAGGUUAAGUCGCCUAACAUGCGACACUCGUGCUUAAACCGAGCUAACACGGGGUGCCGUCGGAUUUCAUCCGAUUUAACCACUUAACAGGAUCGAGUUUAGCAAAACCCACACGAAGGUGAGUGGUUACAGAGAAUACAACAAGUCCACUGAGUUAAACAAGUUUCACCUAUUUUUGUUCAACCAUAAGUCCAACAUCAGAGUUUUAUGAAACAAAAGAACAACAGAGGAAACACUAGCGGAAGACUUCGUCGGGGUCGGAUGUCCGGGUGAGGCCAGCCAGAACAUCACUGAGUCCUCUCCUCGCCGUCCGAGGAGGGGUCCCACUCGACCGUCCAGCCUGGCGGGAGCUGGGGCGGCCAAGCACCAACCAGAGAGGGGUCGGGCGCGGCAACUCCACCUGAAAACAGAAGCCACAACAAGGCUGAGCUACUAAGCUCAACAAGACUUAACCGAUAGGAGUAAGGGCUACUCCUCCUUCUAGACAUGCAAGCUGUUUGGCUGAGGGGUUUGUUUGCCAAAAGCACUAAGUAACCCUAAUUAAAGUUUUAGCUCCGGUUUUAGGUUCACUUACCAGUCUAGGUUGUGCAACCUAUUCUAAGCAAUCAUAGAGCCAAACAAGAGGUGAAGAUAUAAGAAACAAUAUUGCCAUCAUCAGAUUCCUCAUUUACUCAGGGUGACAUAGCGAUCAAGCAAUCUCAAACUGUGAGAGGCAGACGAAUCGAUUCGAGUUCUUUAACCAUGCAUGGUGAACCUAGCCUCACGACAUCCGCGCACCCGGAGGUCGCUUCCUGUGUCGGCCUUCCCCAUCAAUCCCCUAACCCGUGUCAAGCCCAUUUUCUUUGGUGCAAGGUUCCACAGACUCGGCCUCUACCGUCCUGUGACCACACAUUGCCACCACGUGCGACAACCAGCAGGGGAAACUCCGUUCCAAGAACAAUGGGGCGACCGCUCACGUCUAGGUUCAAUCCGGUACUAGGCUUCCUCAUCCCAUACUAAGUAUGAGGCUAGUACUUUCAAACACUUGAUCACGAACACCACCACUGUCGGACCUUAGCAAAUUUUCAUAGACAGACGGGGCGACCAUCCGUCCACCAAAGAGUUACCCAAAACCCUGCCCCGUCCAUCGUCCUUAUAGUUAUAACAGGAGAGUAAACAUGCAACUCCUAUAACUCGCGAGUGACAGGGAAUCACUCGACUUUUACCGUUUUCCUAGUUAAGUAAUGCAGCUACUCGGUCCAACAGCUAGUGCUCAGAUCAUGGGUCACUGAGUUAUGCAUCUAGAGUUUCACACAACUCCUAUACGUAAAUGCACAAGCAUGUUACAGAAGGCAUGCGCAAGUCUGGUAAAACAUAUUGGACUUUCAUGCAACCGGGGCUUGCCUUCAAGCAAGGAGGACGGAAAUUGCUCGGCUUCGGGGGCGACUUCGGCUUCGGAGGGCAGGAGCUCGGCUACAGCUUCUUCUUCGGGCGCCGGGUGAAGCUCGUAGAAACCGUCGACGAGGUGCAGCUCUACACGAAUGCAAUGCAAGGGUUAGCUUAGACGGUUAGUUCAACAGCAACACUGGCUCGCCUGAGCCCAGAAACUCGCGACAAGGAGCAGGAGGUGAUAGCAGUUCGAGAGCUGAUGAUGAUCAUAAGGUAAGGGUAGGAAGGAACUAGUGGUCUGAUCCUUGAACUAGAGGAUGUGAUAAACUAGGGGUCCUUAGACGCAAGCGCUGAAGGGUUCCCAAGUUUUACACAUACACCCUCGAGUUGAAGAAAAAGAUCACAGCCAAGGCCUCGGGCGAGGCGGACAAGGGUCGGCAGAACAGACAGGGUCGGGCGAGACGGAGCUGGGGUCGGGUGGAUAGGAGGGGUCGCGCGAGGCGGACUGGGGUCGGGUGGAUAGGAGGGGUCGGGCGAGGCGGACUGGGGUCGGCAACUCACCUUCUUCCUGAAAGGAAAGCUUGGGGUCGGGAAGAGGCAGACUUGGGCGGAGGGACUAAAGCUUCGAGCAAGGGCUAAGACUGGUAAUGCUCCGGCGGCGGCGUUGCUUCUUGCGGAACACAAGAGAGCUCUUACGCAGCACGGGGGAGCAAGCUGCUGCGUGACUGGGAGGAACUGAGAGGGAACUGGGAGAAGAACUCCUCAAGAACUGGGGGGGGUGGCGCUAGGAGCUUGAGCAGGGAGUAGGAGGAAGCUGAAGGCAACAGAGGCGGAGGGAACUCCGGCGACGGGGGCAUUCCUUUUAUAGCUGCUGGAGCAGAGGAACGGAAACGGCGCGGAGAGAGAGAAGGGGAGCGGCGCGAAGGCCGGGGAAAAGCAAUGGAGUGCUCUGCCGUGGCGGCGAUUGAGCAAACCGGGCGGUGCUGCAGAACUCCGGGGGUGACGCCAGCGAUCAUUGCGUUCUGCUGUCAGGGCGGCGUAGGGGCGGGUAGACUGGUGGUUGAGAUUUGGCGGAGAGCGGGCGUCGUCAUGCGGAAGAGGCGAUGGAAGCGACCGGUUAAACGGCGCUAGAAUCGAGGGCGCACAGGUGAGAAGACAGGCGGGCGCGGGCGCGGGGGAGAGCGCGGAACAACAGAUUGUCGGGCGGCGUCUGACAGAGCGGGGAAAGGAACUGUCGCGGCCGCGGUCGGGGUUGGCGGUGGAGGAAUCGUCGUGUAGCGAUGACCGGGCGGCGCAACUGUGGCUGAAAGGGAUGGAAAAGACGGGCGACAUCGGGCUCUGGGGCCGGGAUCUGGUGGCGUGAUGAUGGGCGCGGGAGACGAGGUUCUGCAGAAAGGGUGCAGAGGGUUUCCGCUGCUAUUGGGGAAAAG
rnacentral:lncRNA from 1 species